GUUCUUUGCUGACUCCUCCUGGUUCCCUGCGGAGUGUUGUGAGUAUUUAUUGCAUUUGCUGAAUCAUCGUGUUCCCUGCAGUUUUCUUCUGGUCCCUGCUGACACUGUCUUGUCCCUGCAGUGUCUUCCUCAUUCCCUGCGGAGUCGUCGUGGUCUCAGCUGACUCGUCCUGGUUCCCGACUCUCUGCUCUUUGUUCCCUGUUGACUCCUCCUGUUUUCUUGUGAGUGCUUCUUUCAUUUGCUGAGUCAUCUUGUUCCCUGCAGUCUCCUCCUGCUUCCUUGUUGAGACCUGCUGGUUCCCCCUGGUCUCUCCUGGUUCCUCCUGAUCCCUUGUGGUCCCUCUUGGUUCCUCCUGGUUCCUCUGGGUCUCUCAUGGUCCGUCUGGUCGCUCCUUGUCCCUCCUGGUUCCUGCUGAUGUUUUUCCUUCCAGGAUGCGCUGUGAGGCUGGGGUUCCUGUCGCCCCCUGCCGGUCACUCAUCACUGCGUGAUCCGGUGAAGGAGAAUCCACAGCUCCCCGUCAUCAUUUCCUCUGCUUCAUUUCAGGCUUUUUUCAGGAUUCAACUGGCUCCAUGCUGUGAUUUCAUCAAGUUUCAUUGGUGUGGAUGUAAAGAAACUGUGUUGAAAAGAGGCUCGACAUUCAAAUGUGUAAAAACAAGUCAGUUGGUGUUGUUGUGAAUGCUAUUCAGUGAGAAAGUUUCAAACUUGUGUCUGUUUAAAUGAUUCUGUGAAAUCCAAGUCCAGAAAUCUACUUUCCAGCAUUUGAAUGAAAUGCAUUUCAAGUGCAGAUGUUGUCAAGUUUUGUUGAGUGACUUGAAGAGACGUUGUAUUUGUCCUGUCCCGACUUGAUAUUGUUCAAAGGAAAUUGUUUGAG